AUGAACUGUCUCACCCGGCCCAGUGUGACGGUGCUGCCCCCCCCCUCCAGUGUGGAGCUGCAGCAGGAGAAGGUCACACUCGUGUGUGAGGCCAACAAGUGCUUUUCCUCGCACUGGAGGCUGACCUGGAAGGUUAAUGGGAACAGCUGGACCUCGGGGGAGAGUCACAGUGCUGAUGUUCUGCACACAGACGGCCUCUACAGCUGGAGCAGCACGCUGAGCCUCCACCCGGACCAGUGCAGGAACAAGCUGGUGACCUGUGAGGCCUUCAAGGAGAACCAACCUACUGUGGUGAGCACAGUGAACAUAGAGCAGUGCUCAGAGCUGGGAGCUCACACACAUUUUACACAGCUCACCUUCCACUGCUUCACUAAGUGUUACAUCUGGUCAUUAAUACCAAACUAUGUGUUAAGUGUUUUUCAAUGGAAUGUUCUGCUUUCGAUUAUUAAUAAAAGCUUUUGA